rnacentral:rRNA from 1 species
UGCAGUCGAGCGAGAACUUUUAGUUUCUAGCGGCGGACGGGUGAGUAACACGUGGGUAACUGGCACAUAGAGGGGGAUAGCCUCCCGAAAGGGAGAUUAAUUUUCGUAUAAGAAGUAAGAAUCGCAUGGUUCAAGCUUUAAAGGAGUAAUCCGCUAUGAGAUGGGCCCGCGGCGCAUUAGCUAGUUGGUGAGGUAAAGGCUCACCAAGGCGACGAUGCGUAGCCGACCUGAGAGGGUGAUCGGCCACAUUGGAACUGAGACACGGUCCAGAC